UACAGAGGGUGCAAGCGUUAAUCGGGAUUACUGGGCGUAAAGCGCGUGUAGGACGUCGAGUAAGUCGGAUGUGAAAUCCCCGGGCUUAACCUGGGAAUUGCAUUCGAUACUGCUUGGCUAGAGUGUGGAAGAGGGAAGCGGAAUUUCCGGUGUAGCGGUGAAAUGCGUAGAUAUCGGAAGGAACACCAGUGGCGAAGGCGGCUUCCUGGUCCAACACUGACGCUGAGGCGCGAAAGCGUGGGGAGCGAACAGG
rnacentral:rRNA from 1 species